ACAGCUUCUUUAGAAAAUAAACACCAAAACGUCAAGAUGGCCCCACGGUCCGUAAUCAAGGGUGUGCUGCUCGUGUCUUUUUCGGUUUUCCUCACACUCGUGUUGGGUGUCGGUCUCCCUGCGCUGCUCAACGCCCUGAUGAGGCUGUUGGGUUUACCGGAGACGAGCGUCAGCGAGUGCAUAGUUCUGCUGUAUUUGUGUUUCGUACUUUGUGUUGCGACGCCUCGAGUUCCAAGAGGAUUUGAGAAGGUCAAUGGAAAAGCUGUGUUAAUCACAGGCUGUGACACUGGGAUCGGCUACGCUCUGGCCAAACAUCUGCACCAACUGGGCUUCACCGUAUUUGCUGGGUGUCUGCACAAGGAUGAAGGUGGCGAAGGUGCCAAGGACCUGGAGACGCUGCAUUCAGAUCGAAUGAAGGUGUUGCAGCUGGACGUCUGCAGUGAGGAGCAGGUGAACCAGGCUGUCGACUACGUCAGGGAAAACCUGGAGGACUCUGAAAGAGGUCUGUGGGCCGUGGUGAACAACGCUGGCAUAUCGACGUUUGGAGAAGUGGAGUUCACUGCCAUGGACACCUACAAGCAGGUAUCAGAGGUCAACCUGUGGGGCACCGUCAGGGUCACCAAGGCUGUUCUGCCACUGAUCCGCAGAGCCAAAGGUCGUGUUGUGAACGUGAGCAGCCUGUUUGGCCGGAUUGGAAACCCCGCACGUUCCUCCUACUGCGUGUCCAAAUACGGCUUAGAGGCUUUCUCCGACUGCCUGCGUUAUGAGAUGAAGACGUGGGGAGUCAAAGUGUCCAUCGUCGAACCGGGAAACUUCUUGGCCGCCACCGGCAUCCUUACACGUGACACUGUGGCCGCCAUGGCCAACAGGCUGUGGAGCGAGGCCUCCGCCGUUGUGAAGGAGGAUUAUGGGAAAGCACACUUUGAGCGACAGGUGGCUGCGGUGCGCUCUCACUGUGGCAGCGGGGACAAAGAUGUGGCCCCCGUUCUGGAUGACAUCACAGACGCCAUCAUGUCCAAACGUCCUUACACACGAGCUCACUGCUGGAGCGGCCUGCGGCCAAUCGGUGCUAACUAACCUUCAACGUCCAACAGCUACCUGGUCCGUCCUCUCUCUCAACAAACAGCCUUUCACUCCAGACUUUACUGUAAAUAUGAACCAUAUGUUUCUCUCUGACUCCACAGGAUGUGCAUUAGGGCCCGUGUUUCUCCAUCUAGGAGACUUCAGCUAAGCCUUUUCCCAAAUAAAUGUUCUGAUUUUUCCCCCCAGCUAAAGUCAAACAUAAGGAAUUGCUUCCUGAAAAUCCUCUGUGGCGGCUGGAGGAAGAGGGUGUGUCUCAGUUUGAUGUAUAUGAGGAAGGCAACCACGGAAACACGACCGCUGGGCGACCUUUUACUCCCUCGUUCCCUCCUGAUCACUAAUACAGAAUUGGUGACCUCACCCACUGGACUGCCUCGACAUCCCAGACCUGUCGUGGUGUGAGGCCUUUUUUCCUGCCUGCAUGCAAAUGUUGCAGAGUUCCCACUGAUUCUGGAGCCUCGGCCUCUGAACAUUCACAGUAAGUAAGGUUUGUCACUUUUUAUCUUAAAAUCUAAAAAACAAACACGAUUCUGGGGGUUGAAGUCUGAAAUAUCCACAGGGCUGUCUAAAGUAUUUCUGAUCCAACAAAGUCCUCAGAUGAACUAAACAGGACAAGAUGCUAGUUUGUUGUACACUGUCAGCAAGAAUAACUAGAAUGACUGUGAACCUUUAACGAAACAGCUUUAGAAGACACCUGCCCUGAGAUAUUAUGUCAUUUUGUUGUUAGGAAGCAAGCUAAACCAUCCUCAUGGAUGGAAAUAAAAAUUUACAUCAACUUCUUUUAAAAAAAAGGCAAAUUACAAGUUACAAACCCCCCCUCACC